rnacentral:rRNA from 1 species
GGCGGCCAGCCUUAACACACCCAAGUCGAGCGGUAACAGGGGGAGCAGGCUCCCUGCUGACGAGCGGCGGACGGGUGAGUAAUGCAUAGGAAUCUGCCCAGUAGUUGGGGAUAGCCCGGGGAAACCCGGAUUAAUACCGAAUACGCCCUACGGGGGAAAGCAGGGGAUCUUCGGACCUUGCGCUAUUGGAUGAGCCUAUGUCGGAUUAGCUAGUUGGUGGGGUAAAGGCCUACCAAGGCGACGAUCCGUAGCUGGUCUGAGAGGAUGAUCAGCCACAUCGGGACUGAGACACGGCCCGAACUCCUACGGGAGGCAGCAGUGGGGAAUAUUGGACAAUGGGGGCAACCCUGAUCCAGCCAUGCCGCGUGUGUGAAGAAGGCUUUCGGGUUGUAAAGCACUUUCAGUGAGGAGGAAAACCUUAUGGCUAAUACCCAUGAGGCUUGACGUUACUCACAGAAGAAGCACCGGCUAACUCCGUGCCAGCAGCCGCGGUAAUACGGAGGGUGCAAGCGUUAAUCGGAAUUACUGGGCGUAAAGCGCGCGUAGGUGGUUCGAUAAGCGAGAUGUGAAAGCCCCGGGCUUAACCUGGGAACGGCAUUUCGAACUG